rnacentral:rRNA from 1 species
UGGUGCCAGCAGCCGCGGUAAUUCCAGCUCCAAUAGCGUAUACUAAAGUUGUUGCGAUUAAAAAGCUCGUAGUUGGAUCUCAGGUAUGGGCGCGCGGUCCGCCUCGCGGCGGUCACUGUGUGUAUUUUUCCCAUCCUACGCUUCCCGGUUGUUAGCCCAUGGUGCUCUUUAUUGAGCGUUUUGGGUGGCCGGAACGUUUACUUUGAAGAAAUUAGAGUGUUCAAAGCAGGCACGUUGCCUGAAUAAUGGUGCAUGGAAUAAUGGAAUAGGACCUCGGUUCUAUUUUGCUGGUUUUCGGAACACGAGGUAAUGAUUAAGAGGGACAGACGGGGGCAUCCGUAUUGCGGUGUUAGAGGUGAAAUUCUUGGAUCAUCGCAAGACGAACAACUGCGAAAGCAUUUGCCAAGCAGGUUUUC